rnacentral:rRNA from 1 species
UGCAGUCGACGGAAAGGCCCUGCUUUUGUGGGGUGCUCGAUGGGCGAACGGGUGAGUAACACGUGAGUAACCUGCCCUUGACUUUGGGAUAACUUCAGGAAACUGGGGCUAAUACCGGAUAGGAGCUCCUGCUGCAUGGUGGGGGUUGGAAAGUUUCGGCGGUUGGGGAUGGACUCGCGGCUUAUCAGCUUGUUGGUGGGGUAGUGGCUUACCAAGGCUUUGACGGGUAGCCGGCCUGAGAGGGUGACCGGCCACAUUGGGACUGAGAUACGGCCCAGACUCCUACGGGAGGCAGCAGUGGGGAAUAUUGCACAAUGGGCGGAAGCCUGAUGCAGCAACGCCGCGUGCGGGAUGACGGCCUUCGGGUUGUAAACCGCUUUCGCCUGUGACGAAGCGUGAGUGACGGUAAUGGGUAAAGAAGCACCGGCUAACUACGUGCCAGCAGCCGCGGUGAUACGUAGGGUGCGAGCGUUGUCCGGAUUUAUUGGGCGUAAAGGGCUCGUAGGUGGUUGAUCGCGUCGGAAGUGUAAUCUUGGGGCUUAACCCUGAGCGUGCUUUCGAUACGGGUUGACUUGAGGAAGGUAGGGGAGAAUGGAAUUCCUGGUGNAGCGGUGGAAUGCGCAGAUAUCAGGAGGAACACCAGUGGCGAANGCGGUUCUCUGGGCCUUUCCUGACGCUGAGNAGCGAAAGCGUGGGGAGCGAACAGGCUUAGAUACCCUGGUAGUCCACGCUGUAAACGNUGGGUACUAGUGUGGGGUCCAUUCCACGGG